rnacentral:rRNA from 1 species
CCUACGGGAGGCUACAGUGGGGAAUAUUGGACAAUGGGGGGAACCCUGAUCCAGCCAUGCCGCGUGUGUGAAGAAGGCCCUCGGGUUGUAAAGCACUUUCAGUGAGGAAGAACGCCUGGUGGUUAAUACCCAUCAGGAAAGACAUCACUCACAGAAGAAGCACCGGCUAACUCCGUGCCAGCAGCCGCGGUAAUACGGAGGGUGCGAGCGUUAAUCGGAAUUACUGGGCGUAAAGCGCGCGUAGGUGGCUUGAUAAGCCGGUUGUGAAAGCCCCGGGCUCAACCUGGGAACGGCAUCCGGAACUGUCAAGCUAGAGUGCAGGAGAGGAAGGUAGAAUUCCCGGUGUAGCGGUGAAAUGCGUAGAGAUCGGGAGGAAUACCAGUGGCGAAGGCGGCCUUCUGGACUGACACUGACACUGAGGUGCGAAAGCGUGGGUAGCAAACAGGAUUAGAUACCCGUGUAGUC